CUUGGCUAAAGGCAGAGGAAUUUAAAAGGGUAUCAAAAUUGGAAAUUAAAGACAAUUAAUGAAAUGAAGGAUUGGAAGAAGAGAUGAUAUAGCAAAGGCGAUAUGGUAUCAAAUGAUUCAACACAAUCAAGUGUUCUCAUGGACAUAGAAAACUUCAAAUGGUUUGGCUGCAAGCAAGGCAUUGUGGCGGUUUGUAAACAUUUACUCUAUCAGUUCCAUUAUUGAAAGCAUAAAAGCAAGUGGCACUUAACUAUGAUCUGUUGCCAAG